GAUGAACGCUGGCGGCGUGCCUAAUACAUGCAAGUCGAGCGAACGGACGAGAAGCUUGCUUCUCUGAUGUUAGCGGCGGACGGGUGAGUAACACGUGGAUAACCUACCUAUAAGACUGGGAUAACUUCGGGAAACCGGAGCUAAUACCGGAUAAUAUUUUGAACCGCAUGGUUCAAAAGUGAAAGACGGUCUUGCUGUCACUUAUAGAUGGAUCCGCGCUGCAUUAGCUAGUUGGUAAGGUAACGGCUUACCAAGGCAACGAUGCAUAGCCGACCUGAGAGGGUGAUCAGUCACACUGGAACUGAGACACGGUCCAGACUCCUACGGGAGGCAGCAGUAGGGAAUCUUCCGCAAUGGGCGAAAGCCUGACGGAGCAACGCCGCGUGAGUGAUGAAGGUCUUCGGAUCGUAAAACUCUGUUAUUAGGGAAGAACAUAUGUGUAAGUAACUGUGCACAUCUUGACGGUACCUAAUCAGAAAGCCACGGCUAACUACGUG
rnacentral:rRNA from 1 species